AACGAACGCUGGCGGCGCGCCUAAUACAUGCAAGUCGAGCGAGAAGACGUAGCAAUACGUUUGUAAAGCGGCGAACGGGCGAGGAAUACAUGGGUAACCUACCCUCGAGUGGGGAAUAACUAGCCGAAAGGUUAGCUAAUACCGCGUACGCUCCUUGGACUUCGGUUCAGGGAGGAAAGCGAUACCGUGGGUAUCGCGCUCUUGGAUGGGCUCAUGUCCUAUCAGCUUGUUGGUGAGGUAACGGCUCACCAAGGCUUCGACGGGUAGCUGGUCUGAGAGGACGAUCAGCCACACUGGCACUGCGACACGGGCCAGACUCCUACGGGAGGCAGCAGUAAGGAAUAUUGCGCAAUGGGCGAAAGCCUGACGCAG
rnacentral:rRNA from 1 species